rnacentral:lncRNA from 1 species
CAGGUAUAUGAGGAAGAAAGAAUGAAGACAGCACUAUCAACCUAGAAUUUUACUUGGAAGAUCUGAGAGAAAACAAUCCUUCAUCUUCUGGGACUUGAGUUCUCUCAUAGCCUUGCUGGAAAAGAUCUUUAAACCAAGUGCUUCUGUCUCUACUGAAAUCUCAGAGGGAGAAGAAAAGGAAGAAGAUGAGAGUGCAUUAUGUUUUGAUUGUAGUUCCACAUAAAAGGGCAUUUAUAGCCCAAGCUUCUCUGUUUUGCAGGCUCCAAAUCCCCACAAAUUCAGGGCAGUGUUCUUGAAUUUGCCUACUUAAUGACAAAUACAUAAACUUACUUUGAGAUAAAUUGUCAAGGAAGCCCAUGAAAGCUGGAAGAAGGAACUGGACAAGAGAAGAACUUAAGCUAAUAAUUAUUUGUCUGUUUUAAUUUAAAGUCUUUAAUUCUCCUCCCAGUCGAUUUAUGCACUUCGGAGACUGUGUAUUAUAUACCUAUUUUAAAAAUAAAAUAACCAAGAAACAUAAUUUCCUUUAAUGUUUUGAGGGGAGAAAAAUCCAAGAGGUGAAACCCUGAUGUUCAAGCUGAAUUACUGUUUCUGUUAUUUACGAUGAAGGCCUGUAGUAACCAACAAAGAGGAGCUCUUCAGUGUAUCCAUCACCAUACAAAUGUGGGGUGCAGAUGUUCCCUUCCCCUAUGAGCUCAUUGACUCAACAGACAAGACAAAUUCAGGCUGCAAGAUGGAUCGGUCACACACUCUGUACAGAAGUGGGAGAUCCAGAUAUGCUUUCAGGAAGCUGAGCGUGCAGCUAACCUGCUGAUGGAGUAGUGCAGUCUAAUAGGAUGAUUGAUGAAGCUGGAACAUAAAUACAUGUUUGUUUAUUAUGUCACUACAGCCAUCUUUGUGAAAGGACUGUGUUUUUAAACAUGAAAAACGCCCUGGGAAUGGUCCAAAGAGUAGAAAAGAAAGGAUGGAAACAAGUAGGGAUAAACAAACAACAACAAAAUAAACCACCCUGCAGAAAAUAAGUGUGGAAAACAGGCUGAUGACAGCUUUGUGACAUCCACCCCUCUGCCUCUGAGUGCCUUUUAUCCAACAGGAAAACAAAGCAUUCAGUUAAGGAAGACUGGAAAAAUUAAGGUACGCGCUUUCCCUUUCUCCUCUAUCCACUUCUCAGCUACCUGUGCUUAUCAUUUGCCUGGUGAUGGGAUUUUUGUCCGCUUUUCUCCACCUCCUAUAGGUUUUAAUCUAUCUCAUCUCCUACCUGUUUCCUGUAGGGCAUCGAAACUCAGAUGCCAGCUCCAUUAAAAUAAGGUUGAGUGCCUCUUACAUUAUAAACAGCCUUGAUUAGUGGCAAUAGUAUUUUCGUCUCAUCAGCAGCAAGUUCAAGGCAACUGCUGUCCACGUUUAAAUGAAUCCAGCUUUGCAGCCAUAUUCACAAGCAUAGAAACAGUGCUGCAUUCUGUGCUUAAUUACAUUUGUAUGGGGUCUCACUCUUCAAGUCAUUUUGGAGAAGCUGGUGCUAUUGAUUUCAUAAAAGAUACAUAAAUCUGACUGCCAUUUCUGCUAUUAAACUUCAAUAGCUGGCUCUCUGUUGGACCUUAAGAUCUGUCUCUUCCCAGGAGCUGGUGUGGAAUGCACAGGGACA